GAAAUGCGAUAAGUAAUGUGAAUUGCAGAAUUCAGUGAAUCAUCGAAUCUUUGAACGCACAUUGCGCCCGCCAGUAUUCUGGCGGGCAUGCCUGUUCGAGCGUCAUUUCAACCCUCAAGACCCCUUCGGGGGACUUGGUGUUGGGGACCGGCACAGGGCCUGCUUGCUUGUCUCGCAGCGCCUCGCCGCCUCCGAAAUGAAUUGGCGGCCUCGUCGCGGCCUCCUCUGCGUAGUAGCACAACCUCGCAAAGGGAGCGUGACGCGGCCACUGCCGUAAAACAACCCAAUUUUAUUAGAGUUGACCUCGAAUCAGGUAGGAAUACCCGCUGAACUUAA
rnacentral:misc_RNA from 1 species